UGAUGAAAAAGUAUGAUAAGGUGAAAAAAGUGACAUUUUAUGUCUAGACAGUCACUUUUCAUCAAAAGUACCAUAACAAAACUAGUUUGCAUUCAUCCUGUGUCUCCUUACACACUUGUGCUCUUUAUUCCGCUCAAAACGCUAUAGAGCGAACGAGAAGGCGCUAGGAGCAAAGGAAAGUGGUUUUUCUAACAAACUCAUAUAAGUCAUUGCCCGACCUACUCCAAUUUGAUUUUUUUCACAUAGUUAGACAUAAUAUAGUACUAUGAAAUGUUUCUGACCCAAAAUAUUACGAAAUAUGAUUGUUUACAUUAAAAUGCAAAAGUUGAUGAAAAAGUAUGAUAAGAUGAAAAAAGUGACAUUUGAAGUGUAGAAAGUCACUUUUCAUCAAAAGUACCAUAACAAAACUUGUUCCCAUUUAU
ensembl:lncRNA